GGCGAGAUGGCCGAGCGGUCUAAGGGUUAGUAACGUCGUAUCAUCUCAUCACCCAAUCAAACACUAACAAUCUCUUCAGCGCUGGAGUAAGGUUCCAGUCUCGAAAGGGGCGUGGGUUCAAAUCCCACUCUCGUCA
rnacentral:tRNA from 1 species